rnacentral:misc_RNA from 1 species
GCGUGCUCUGCUCACCAACCCUCCUCUCUCUCUUUUCAUGGCUUCUCUCUAGCUAUGGGUUCAUAAAGUUAACAUGUUUGACGUGGAAAUUCAAUCAUGAAACCAAUUCUUUUACGUUUAAACGCAACCUUCCUCUAUUUAAACACCUUACCAGUCAUCUAAACAAUACCAAAACACACAAAACAAGCCCAAAUAUGGCUUACAAAUACAACACACGGCUGCCAUUCCUCAGCUUCGUCUUUUUCUUCUUCCUUGUUUGCAUACCCUUUUACACUGUUGAAUCUCGUGCACCUUUCGCUUGUGACCCCAGAAAUGGGCUAACCAGAAGCCUCAAAUUCUGUAGGGUUAAUGUGCCAAUACAUGCGAGAGUGAGAGACUUGAUAGGGAGAUUUACAUUGCAGGAGAAGAUCAGAUUGCUAGUCAACAAUGCAGCUGCUGUACCUAGGCUUGGCAUUCAAGGAUAUGAGUGGUGGUCUGAGGCUCUUCAUGGCGUCUCUAAUGUGGGUCCAGGUGUCAAGUUUGGUGGGGCCUUCCCUGGGGCCACUAGCUUCCCUCAAGUCAUCACCACCGCUGCUUCCUUCAACGAGUCUCUCUGGGAGCAAAUCGGACGGGUAGUGUCUGAUGAAGCAAGAGCAAUGUACAAUGGAGGACUGGCCGGAUUGACAUAUUGGAGUCCUAACGUAAAUAUAUUUCGCGAUCCUCGAUGGGGAAGAGGGCAAGAAACUCCCGGCGAAGACCCUAUUUUAGCCGGAAAAUACGCUGCUAGCUAUGUCAAGGGACUUCAGAGCAUGACAGGCAUCAGAUUAAAGGUUGCUGCAUGUUGCAAGCAUUACACAGCCUACGAUCUUGAUAAUUGGAAUGGUGUGGAUAGAUACCAUUUCAAUGCUAUGGUAAGCAAGCAAGACUUGGAGGACACAUAUGAUGUGCCAUUCAAGGCUUGUGUGAUGGAAGGAAAAGUUGCUAGUGUGAUGUGCUCUUACAAUCAAGUAAAUGGAAAACCCACUUGUGCUGAUCCUAUUCUCCUCAAGAACACCAUCAGGGGUGAAUGGCGACUUAACGGAUAUAUUGUUUCAGACUGUGACUCAGUUGGGGUUUUAUAUGAUAACCAGCACUACACUUCAACACCCGAAGAAGCAGCUGCAGCCACCAUUAAAGCAGGUCUUGAUUUAGACUGUGGUCCAUUCUUGGCGAUCCACACACAGAAUGCAAUAAACAAAGGGUUACUACGGGAGCAGGACGUAAAUCUAGCCCUAGCUAAUACCAUCACUGUCCAGAUGAGACUAGGCAUGUUUGAUGGAGAACCAUCUGCCCAUCCUUAUGGUAACUUGGGCCCAAGGGAUGUUUGCACUCCAGCCCAUCAGCAAUUGGCUCUAGAAGCAGCCCGACAAGGCAUAGUCCUACUUGAGAAUCGUGGGCGGGCCCUCCCUAUGUCCCCAACACGACAUCGUUCUGUAGCCGUCAUUGGGCCCAAUUCUGAUGUUACCGUUGCCAUGAUAGGGAAUUAUGCUGGUAUUGCAUGUAGUUACACAACUCCCUUGCAAGGAAUCAGCAGAUAUGCUAAGACCAUUCAUCAAUCUGGGUGUGGGGAUGUGGCCUGCAAUGGAAACCAACAAUUUGGGGCAGCUGUGGCAGCAGCCCGCCAGGCUGAUGCUACUAUUCUUGUAAUGGGUCUUGAUCAGUCAAUAGAAGCAGAAUUCAGGGAUAGGGUAGGGCUCCUUUUGCCUGGACACCAACAAGAACUUGUAUCCAGAGUGGCUAGAGCCUCCAAGGGUCCUACUAUAUUGGUGUUGAUGAGUGGCGGUCCUAUUGAUGUCUCAUUCGCUAAGAAUGAUCCUCGAGUUGGUGCUAUGUUGUGGGUUGGAUAUCCUGGACAAGCCGGAGGAGCUGCCAUUGCUGAUGUUUUGUUUGGAACAACCAAUCCAGGAGGGAAGCUGCCAAUGACAUGGUAUCCACAGAGCUAUCUUGCCAAGGUGCCAAUGAUAAAUAUGGGAAUGAGACCAGACCCAUCAAGAGGCUAUCCUGGUAGAACCUAUAGAUUCUACAAGGGCCCUGUUGUUUUCCCUUUUGGCCAUGGAUUGAGCUACACCUCCUUUUCUCACUCUCUAUUCCAAGCUCCAAAGCAGCUCUCGCUCCCCCUUACCAGUCUCCAUACCUUAAAAAACACUACCAUUUCAAGCAAAGCAAUAAGGGUCUCACAUACUAAUUGUGAUGCUCUCUCUCUAGGACUUCAUAUUGAUGUAAAGAACACAGGAACCAUGGAUGGAACUCACACCAUUCUGGUGUUCUCUAGCCCCCCAGCAGGAAAAUGGUCCUCUAACAAGCAAUUAAUUGGUUUUGAAAGGGUUCAUUUAAUAGCUGGUUCUCAGAAACAAGUCAUGAUUAACAUUCAUGUGUGCAAGCACCUGAGUGUGGUCGACCAAUUCGGAAUUCGAAGAAUUCCCGUUGGUGAACAUGAUCUUCACAUUGGAGAUCUCAAGCAUUCUAUUUCUCUCCAAGCAAAUUUGGAAGAGAUCAAAUAUUAGUAACUAGUAGGACAUGAAAUUAAUCAUCAACUGUAAGAUAAACAUAAGGCAAAAGAUCAACUAGUGUUUAAUUAGUGUUUCAGCAUUUUGUGAUACAAUAGAUAUUGAAUCCCAAUUGAUCCAUUCACUUAAUGCAAGAAAACAAAAUUGAGUGAAAGAAAAUGAUCAAUGUAAGGCAAUAAAAUACCAGCUCAAGUUUUGCUGGUUGCUUCUCUUGUUCCUACUUAUGCAACUGUAUUUGUAUUUGAUGCUUGUAAAUUGUACCUCAUAAGGUGCUAUUGAAAGGGAAUAUAGUUUUAGUUAUUUCAAAA